AUAGUAGAGGUGCAUUAUGUUUUCUGGUCUGUGUGUACUUUCAUUCGUUCAUCUGUCAUGCUUCAGGUUAAAGUUUUUGGUCAAGAUAGUUUUUGAUGAAGUUGAAGUCCAAUCAACUUGUAACUUAGUACACAUGUUCCCUAUGUUAUGAUUUUACUAAUUUUAAUGCCAAAUUAGAGUUAUUUCCACAAUUUCACAGUCCACAGAACACAGAAAAGUUAUAGUGUAAGUGGGGC
rnacentral:lncRNA from 1 species